UACGUAGGGUGCGAGCGUUAAUCGGAAUUACUGGGCGUAAGCGUGCGCAGGCGGUUCGCUGUGUCCGAUGUGAAAGCCCCGGGCUUAACCUGGGAAUGGCAUUGGAAACUGGCGGGCUUGAGUGUGGCAGAGGGGGGUGGAAUUCCGGCGUGUAGCAGUGAAAUGCGUAGAGAUGCGGAGGAACACCGAUGGCGAAGGCAGCCCCCUGGGCUAACACUGACGCCUCAGGCACGAAAGCGUGGGGAGC
rnacentral:rRNA from 1 species